UACGUAGGGGGCAAGCGUUGUCCGGAUUCAUUGGGCGUAAAGAGCGUGUAGGCGGCCACUUAAGUCCUGCGUGAAAUCUUGCGGCUCAACCGCAAGCGGUCGUGGGAAACUGGGUGGCUAGAGUGCGGGAGAGGAGAGUGGAAUUCCUGGUGUAGCGGUGAAAUGCGCAGAUAUCAGGAGGAACACCAGUGGCGAAGGCGGCCGCCUGGACCUGACCUGACGCUGAGGCGCGAAGGCGCGGGGAGCGAACGGG
rnacentral:rRNA from 1 species